AACGAACGCUGGCGGCAGGCCUAACACAUGCAAGUCGAGCGGACCCUUCGGGGUCAGCGGCGGACGGGUGAGUAACGCGUGGGAAUAUGCCCUUCUCUACGGAAUAGUCCUGGGAAACUGGGGGUAAUACCGUAUACGCCCUUUGGGGGAAAGAUUUAUCGGGGAAGGAUUAGCCCGCGUUGGAUUAGGUAGUUGGUGGGGUAAUGGCCUACCAAGCCGACGAUCCAUAGCUGGUUUGAGAGGAUGAUCAGCCACACUGGGACUGAGACACGGCCCAGACUCCUACGGGAGGCAGCAGUGGGGAAUCUUAGACAAUGGGGGCAACCCUGAUCUAGCCAUGCCGCGUGAGUGAUGAAGGCCUUAGGGUUGUAAAGCUCUUUCAGCUGGGAAGAUAAUGACGGUACCAGCAGAAGAAGCCCCGGCUAACUCCGUG
rnacentral:rRNA from 1 species